AGUGAGCUCUGGCUUCCAUACCAUGGGCUGGUGAGACUCCUCACGCCCCCCGGAUUCUCUCGUUCCUCUUCUGCCGCUUCUGCAAAUAGACAUCAUGCAAGUAGUCCCCGGCAGAGGAUAAGGUAUUUGGUACACAAAAUUGAUGAGACACGCCGCUGAAGGACUCAACGAUGCUGCUGAGGUUGUAGUACGUCGGCCGCUACGGUGGAGGCGGAGACGACGAUGGCGCACCAAGGGCGAAUCGCGCAGCGGAAGGGAGGGACAGGCGGCGAAGGAGAGGAGGGGAAGUUGGCCUUAGCCUCGGGCUCGCGAAUGGCGAUGGCGGCGACGUCCUCGACGGAGUCAAACGUGCCAAGCCACACCCGCGCGCCUUCUUCCAGAUGUCCGGAUCUCAGCCGCGAAUCGCCCACACGACCGCUUUCGGACGCCACGGUACCGCACCUCUACCGUCAUCACCGCGGCCGGAGCUCGGCCCUACCGGAUCUCUUCUUCGACACACACGAAAACCAAUGAUUGGAUCUCAAGAGGCGAGGAGGGAACUCGUGAUCGAUCAAAAGCAGAGUUUUGAAGUCUUCAUCACAAAUCCGUCUCCUUGCAAUCGAUCGCCCUCCAGACUGAAGGAAGACUUGGAAUGCUCUGAUUCUUUCUUAUACCAAUGAAUCAAUCACACUUCUCCUUCCCCUUC